rnacentral:rRNA from 1 species
CACACGACUCUCGGCAACGGAUAUCUCGGCUCUCGCAUCGAUGAAGAACGUAGCGAAAUGCGAUACCUGGUGUGAAUUGCAGAAUCCCGCGAACCAUCGAGUCUUUGAACGCAAGUUGCGCCCGAGKCCAUUUGGCCGAGGGCACGCCUGCCUGGGCGUCACG